AACGAACGCUGGCGCCAUGCCUAACACAUGCAAGUCGAACGAAGCCUUCGGGCUUAGUGGCGCACGGGUGCGUAACGCGUGGGAAUCUGCCCUUGGGUUCGGAAUAACAGUUAGAAAUGACUGCUAAUACCGGAUGAUGUCUUCGGACCAAAGAUUUAUCGCCCAAGGAUGAGCCCGCGUAGGAUUAGGUAGUUGGUGGGGUAAUGGCCCACCAAGCCGACGAUCCUUAGCUGGUCCGAGAGGAUGAUCAGCCACACUGGGACUGAGACACGGCCCAGACUCCUACGGGAGGCAGCAGUGGGGAAUAUUGGACAAUGGGCGAAAGCCUGAUCCAGCAAUGCCGCGUGAGUGAUGAAGGCCUUAGGGUUGUAAAGCUCUUUUACCAGGGAUGAUAAUGACAGUACCUGGAGAAUAAGCUCCGGCUAACUCCGUGCCAGCAGCCGCAGUAA
rnacentral:rRNA from 1 species